rnacentral:rRNA from 1 species
UGUAAAUGUAAAUUUUUGAACUAAAUUAGUAAUAGAUAUGAUCUUCAAAUUUAAAGAUUUUGGCGGUAUUUUAGUCUAUUCAGAGGAACCUGUUCUGUAAUUGAUAGUCCACGAUUAACUUUACUUAAUUUUAAAAAUUUGUAUAUCGUUGUUUAUAGAAAAUUUUAUAAGAAAAAUAAUUUUUAAUAAAUUUUAUUAAAUUAUAAAUCAAAUCAAGGUGCAGUUUAUAGUUAAGUUAGAAAUGGGUUACAAUAAAUUUAUUUAUUAAUGGAUUUAAAUUUUAAAAUUUUAUUGAAGGUGGAUUUGAUAGUAAUAUUAUUUAAUUAAAUAAUAUGAUUAUAGCUCUAAAAUAUGU